UACGGAGGGUGCGAGCGUUGUCCGGAUUUAUUGGGCGUAAAGAGCUCGUAGGCGGCUUGUUGCGUCGACUGUGAAAACCCGCGGCUUAACCGCGGGCUUGCAGUUGAUACGGGCAGGCUAGAGUUCGGUAGGGGAGACUGGAAUUCCUGGUGUAGCGGUGAAAUGCGCAGAUAUCAGGAGGAACACCGGUGGCGAAGGCGGGUCUCUGGGCCGAUACUGACGCUGAGGAGCGAAAGCGUGGGGAGCGAACAGG
rnacentral:rRNA from 1 species